UUUUGAAAUAUUCGUGUGCAUACAAUUUUAGUAUGAGUUCAAAUUUGGAUGACCACAACUACAACUAUAGACGAGCACGACCAACAUCGAGGCCCUCGCAGCCAAACAAGGUUUCGAUAAGAGGUGCUAGGAAGGUUUCUUCGAUGAUUUCCUGAAAUAUGCUCUUUAGGAUCUAGAAGGGAUUUGUCCCUUAUGUAUACGAAGAGAAC
rnacentral:lncRNA from 1 species